GCAAGUUUAGUGAAGUGGUCAAACACGCUAGCUUCAGGUGCUAGUCCUUCGGGUUCGUGGGUUCGACUCCCACAGCUUGCA